UUUUUUUUUACUUUAUGUUGUCAAAUAAUACAUUCUUUGGAAAGUGAUGGUAUGGACGGUACCCGUGGAUACGCCUAGCCGUGGAGUGUGAAAGAAAUUGUGGAAAAAGGAAUAAAUUUGUUUUCUGUUUGGAAACCACCUAUGAUGUAUCUAGCAUGGAAAUUAUUGGAAACUCUAAGUCGUUUUUGUUGACGGGACAAGUAUAC
rnacentral:lncRNA from 1 species